rnacentral:SRP_RNA from 1 species
GCAGAGCUUAGUAACGUGAGCUUGUGACCCAAGUGGGAGCAUUAAGGUGAUGGAACAGGAUUUUAGCUCUCUGGGUCGGGCCUGUGGUUGGCAACAUGCAGGCUUGCCCUCUCCAAGUUGAGAGUUGGUCCAUGUGGCUUAGGCGAAGGGCUGAUCUUCAUGGGCCUUAGAGUGGAGGGGACCGCGUGAGGCUGGUUUCACAGAGCAAUGAAAACCUCCCCACUCUUGUCAGUGGAAGGAUUACGAGCUUGCGCCUCCUUGGCCCAUUAGCACUCAGUUGGCUGAUCCCUCCAAUGGACCAUCACUUUU